GUGAGCAGGUAAAUGGUUCACACAUUGGAUUAGCACCUUCGGUUAUUCAUACGUUCCAGGUGUAUCAUAAAUAUCGUAAAGUGGUGCAUGAUCGCAGUGAUUCGGAAAUUGUUCGGCGGCGGGAAAAAAUGUUAUCGGACGUCGACUAGUUCCCGGCCACAAUGGGCUGUUCUGCGGGGCAUUACUUGAGUCGGAUGGAACGAGACUGGUGGUGGGUGGGCUUGCAAGCACACGCGGCUCACCCGUGAAAAUAAACAUCCGAUCGAUCAUCCUAUAUAUCCGCUACUCAUCUGGCGUUUCUUGAAUGAUCAAGUCCAGUAUUUCAAUCGCCUGGAGGUACCUGUUCGCAACCCACAAUUGACACUGAUCGAUGCACGAGCCACCAGAAUCGCCGAGGAUUAUCAAUAUUCCCAUCGGAGAAGUUCGAAGGCUCCUCUUUCCACCGGAAAGACCUUCAACGGAAGUUCGAAAUCCCGAACUCGAGUAUUGGUCAUUUGAGACAACAUUAUUCUUGGGGAUUGGAUCGACCCGAUUGAAAAAUGCUUUCUUUAGGAGAGAGAUACCAAGUGAAUAAACAAAGCUGAGCGCACUUUUUCUCCGCGCAAAACUGGACUGUCGCCUUAUUUUCCACUUGUCAAUACCAAUCAGCGCAAAUGGAUGGCUCACCAGGAAGUAGUAGGUACAGUAUCAGUGGUCGCAGAAACACCACAUGAGUGUAUCCACUUGAUGAAUUUGGCAUCCGUCCUAAAUGCCUUUUGGCAUGAGCAAACCUCGAGGAAAUAGAGAAUGUUUCAUUCAUACAAUAUUACGAUUAUCGUGAGAUGGAGGGCACUUCCUGUACUACGCAGAAAGAUGACCCAUAAAAAUCUGGAAGAUGAUAACGUAACAGGAAAAUGCAAUUUGAGAAGGGAAACCGCAAAACUGUUGGUACUCGAUUUGUUUUCUCCCCUCGAGCAGUUUCGUCCACGUUUCAUUCAUCUUGCAAGCUUUUUCGUUCCGGAAUGUCUUCAAAUUACUGUUUGAAUCCUCUGUCCCAUAGUAAGAAUCAUGGAGAACAUAAAAUUUAA